GACGAACGCUGGCGGCGUGCUUAACACAUGCAAGUCGAACGAUGAACCCGGAGCUUGCUCUGGGGGAUUAGUGGCGAACGGGUGAGUAACACGUGAGUAACCUGCCCUGGACUCUGGGAUAAGCGUUGGAAACGACGUCUAAUACCGGAUAGGACCUUGGAUCGCAUGAUCUGGGGUGGAAAGUUUUUUCGGUCUGGGAUGGACUCGCGGCCUAUCAGCUUGUUGGUGAGGUAAUGGCUCACCAAGGCGUCGACGGGUAGCCGGCCUGAGAGGGUGACCGGCCACACUGGGACUGAGACACGGCCCAGACUCCUACGGGAGGCAGCAGUGGGGAAUAUUGCGCAAUGGGCGAAAGCCUGAUGCAGCAACGCCGCGUGCGGGAUGACGGCCUUCGGGUUGUAAACCGCUUUUAGUAGGGAAGAAGGGCUUCGGCUUGACGGUACCUGCAGAAAAAGGACCGGCUAACUACGUG
rnacentral:rRNA from 1 species